rnacentral:rRNA from 1 species
AGUGAACGCUGGCGGCAGGCCUAACACAUGCAAGUCGAACGGCAGCACAGAGGAGCUUGCUCCUUGGGUGGCGAGUGGCGGACGGGUGAGGAAUGCAUCGGAAUCUGCCUAUUUGUGGGGGAUAACGUAGGGAAACUUACGCUAAUACCGCAUACGUCCUACGGGAGAAAGUGGGGGACCUUCGGGCCUCACGCAGAUAGAUGAGCCGAUGCCGGAUUAGCUAGUUGGCGGGGUAAAGGCCCACCAAGGCGACGAUCCGUAGCUGGUCUGAGAGGAUGAUCAGCCACACUUGAACUGAGACACGGUCCAGACUCCUACGGGAGGCAGCAGUGGGGAAUAUUGGACAAUGGGCGCAAGCCUGAUCCAGCCAUGCCGCGUGUGUGAAGAAGGCCUUCGGGUUGUAAAGCACUUUUGUCCGGAAAGAAAAGCGCUCGAUUAAUACUCGGGUGUUAUGACGGUACCGGAAGAAUAAGCACCGGCUAACUUCGUGCCAGCCGCCGCGGUAAUAC